rnacentral:lncRNA from 1 species
GUCUAGAAAUAUGUAAGUGAAAACAAAAUGCGAUGUGUUAAAUUAUACAAAGGAAAAACAUGAUUCAUAAUCUUCUGUCUAGAAAUAUGUAAGUGAGAACAAUUAGCGAUUCGUUAAAUUAUACAAACAAAAACACAAAUGUGUUUCACAAUCUAUAUAUUCAUAUUGAAUUUGCCAAAUCUACAACACAAACUUAAACGCUAAUCUAAAAGUUCUCACAGCAACACUUCUACUACCAGGUGAAGAAAGAAAGUUUCUUGAUAAGAAAUUUCUUCAGGCAUUUCGUCGAGCACUUGAUGUGCGUCUCUAAACAGGUAAGCAACGUUAAUCAGACCACUACAUAUAGACACCUUUUUGGCAAGAGUGAUGAGCGGACGAUGAAAAAAAAAUAUGUCGCAACUGUAGUCGAGACUUGAUAUCUUUAGGCAUUUCGUCGAGCAGUGGGUGUUCAUCUCUUAAACAAGCAAAGAUAUUCCAUACAACCAAAGAAAACAAAAAAGAGAUAUUUAGUUAUCUGUCAGACAACCAUAUAACCAUGCCAGAACACAUCGAAGAUGAGCUGACAACGAUCAUCUACCGAUGCCAUGACCAAUCCGUUAAUCACGCUCUGGUUACAUGGUCCUGAUUCAUCAACCAGAUAUGGGUUUCUGUCUUCUUAGGAACCAAGAAUACAGAGGUACGAGCCUAUAGAACAGAUCCUGUUCAAGUAAGGUCUUGCUGUGUUUUCUCUCAAAGCUUUUUAUAAAUAUUGCUUUAUUUGUUAUACGACCCGAUGUGGGACAAGAGCAUUUGCAGUCUUUAUCAGAAAAAUCCUUUCAAAAGUUUAUUACAUUUAUUUUUCUCAGAAAAGCAUUUAUAUAUAUACAUUAUUUUUUUCCAUUUAAGCUAUUAUUUACCUACUAAAUUAGGUUAGGAAAUUAUAAAUACUUACAUGAUCUAGUCCUAUUGGUAAAGUGUCUAGUUGAAAUCAAUCUACUUAAAAACAGAAAAUAGUCCAAUAGAGCCUAAUGUGAUACUAUAUCUUAUUUUGGUUGGAAGUUCUGGUAGGCAUCUAUAACAUGCUAACUAGUUUAGAAAUAAAAAAUAUUCAAAUUAUUUUUGGCUAAAAAUAUAUUUAUUAAUGACUUUUCAAGUAAAAGAAUGAAAAUGUAUGAGCUUUUCUGAAACCGGCCUUACAUUAUAUUAUAAAAACAGAGCACAUAAUGAGUAGCAUAAUGUAUAUAUUCAUAUAGAAACUUAAGGUUUUGCCAAAUUUACACCACAAACAAAACACACCAGAAACACUUUUAAAAAGCUAACUUGUAGUAAAAACAAACAACCCUAAUCUAUCUUUCCCAUUCUAUGCUAAUAAUAUUAAAGAGGAUGAGAAAGAGGAUGAGCACUUCUUUUAAAUCCUCUCUUCACUCCUUUCUUCCUCCAUUCUUACACGCCUUUAAAUACCACAAAAUAACCACAAUUAAAAAUCCACUUCUUCUUCUACUCCUACACAAAUCAUUUUUGAAAAAACUUGAUCUUGAUUUUGUGAUCUUGAAUUAUGCCAAUGUGUAGCUUGAAACCGAUACUUCUGCAGGCGAAGAAGAAUGGAUGUACACAAACUCUAUGCUUUUGCCAGCUGGCAAUGAGCUAACCCAUGUUGGGAACCCGUAGGACCCACUUACACUCUUGGCUAGGCCCCACAAUGGACCAUAGAGCUUGGAGACUGAUAGGUUAAGGUUCUU